rnacentral:tRNA from 1 species
GAUCUCGUAGCUCAGUCGGCAGAGCAUUGGACUAGUAUCCCAAAGGUCGCGGGUUCGAUUCCCACCGUGGUCA